rnacentral:rRNA from 1 species
GAUGAACGCUAGCGGCAGGCUUAAUACAUGCAAGUCGAGGGGCAGCAUGGUGUAGCAAUACACUGAUGGCGACCGGCAAACGGGUGCGGAACACGUACGCAACUUACCCAAAACUGGGGAAUAGCCCGGGGAAACCCGGAUUAAUACCUCGUAAGAUAAUUGAAUGGCAUCAUUUGAUUAUUAUAGCUCCGGCGGUUUUGGAUGGGCGUGCGCCUGAUUAGGUAGUUGGCGGGGUAAUGGCCCACCAAGCCUACGAUCAGUAACUGGUGUGAGAGCACGACCAGUCACACGGGCACUGAGACACGGGCCCGACUCCUACGGGAGGCAGCAGUAAGGAAUAUUGGUCAAUGGACGCAAGUCUGAACCAGCCAUGCCGCGUGAAGGAUGAAGGUCCUCUGGAUUGUAAACUUCUUUUAUAUGGGAAGAAAUCCAUCUUUUCUUGGGUGGUUGACGGUACCAUAGGAAUAAGCACCGGCUAACUCCGUGCCAGCAGCCGCCGUAACAC